CACGCGGUCGCGAGGCCUGAGCGACGGGUGGAGUUAACGACGAGAGCUGCGCGCGCAGCCAUGACCCCUCACAGCGGCCUAUGGGAAGCAGGGGCGGAACCGCUUUAACUUGGGGUGAGUCAGAAUUCAGCCGACUUUACCAUGGCGGCUACCGAUCACCGCAACGGCCAUUCCCCAUGAUUGAUGAGAAUAACGAUGUCAGCGAGGAGGCCUUGAGCUCUGACAUUAAGAAACUGAAGGAGAAGCAUGACAUGCUGGACAAGGAGAUCUCCCAGUUAAUAGCAGAGGGCUACCGUGUGAUUGAGCUGGAGAAGCAUAUCUCCCUCCUCCAUGAGUACAAUGACAUCAAGGAUGUAUCACAGAUGCUGCUGGGGAAGCUGGGAUCUCAAGCACAGGUCCUACUUGGGAACGAUUUUGAGCAGGACUUACCAACCUGCGAGAUUGCAGUAAUGGUUCCUGUUCUUCAUGGCCUGCAGAGACAUUGAGAUACCAUGGCUGCCUCUAAUGACCGACCUGCUUCAGUGGCAGCAAGGACCAAGGCAGCUCUUUAUAAUAUGCAGUGGGAUUUAUUUCCUCCUCCAACUAAAUCCAGAGUCUUGAGCCCAGGCAGAUGCCUGUGUAUUUGUCUGACUAGAACAGUUGUCAUGGAAGUCAGGCCAGUUGGGCUGUGACUCGAGGCGUUACCACCAAGGAGUUAUAUCCAGAUUUUGAUCUAAACCUGAAUGACUGAGCAGCUUCUUGGAGAUUUUCAUCUACAGCCCACAGGGACAGGAGGAUGGGGGCAUAAAAGGCAGAGUCUAGACAGUAUGUUCAUAUGGUUUUCAGAUUUUAAAAGAUGCUAGAAGCCCUCCAAAGUUUGGGGUGGGUUCUAGAGAAGAGGAGUAUUGGGAGGGGUGGGUAUUGUCAAUGUUAAGGUUCCUAAACAUACUUGUGAGUAGGUGUGUGUGGUUGUCCCUUUUGUUAAUAAACAUAUGAGCAGUC